rnacentral:rRNA from 1 species
CUUGGUCAUUUAGAGGAAGUAAAAGUCGUAACAAGGUUUCCGUAGGUGAACCUGCGGAAGGAUCAUUAACGAGUUCGAACGAGGUUGUCGCUGGCCUUCCGGGGCAUGUGCACACCUCUUUCUCGUCCAUCUCACACCUGUGCACCUUCGGUAGUUCUAGAGAAGGCAAGUCGCCGCGAGGCGAUGACCCGACUUUGGUCCUACGUCUUCACACACUCUAUAAAAGUUUUGAAUGUAAACCGCGUCUAACGCAUCUAAUACACUUUCAACAACGGAUCUCUUGGCUCUCGCAUCGAUGAAGAACGCAGCGAAAUGCGAUAAGUAAUGUGAAUUGCAGAAUUCAGUGAAUCAUCGAAUCUUUGAACGCACCUUGCGCUCGACGGUAUUCCGAGGAGCAUGCCUGUUUGAGUGUCAUGAAACCCUCAAACCCAAGUUUUGGAUUUCGAUCCAUGCUUGAGUUUGGAUUUGGAUGUUUGCCGGUGAUGAACCGACUCAUCUUAAAAGUAUUAGCUUGGAUCUGUCUAUAUGACUGGUUUGACUUGGCAUAAUAAGUAUUUUGCUGAGGACAUCUUAGGAUGGCCAGGACCUAGACUACUGUCUGCUAUCUAAACCAUCACUUUAAGUGCAUCUUUGGAUGUUACUCAUUGAGUAACUUUGACAUCUGGCCUCAAAUCAAGUAGGACUACCCGCUGAACUUAAGCAUAUCAACACCUGCUGAGGGUCAGUA